UGCAUUUUACAAGAAGCACUUGGAC
rnacentral:piRNA from 1 species